rnacentral:rRNA from 1 species
AGCGGUUGAAGGUGUGUGGUAACGCAUGCUGGACGUAUCAGAAGUGCGAAUGCUGACAUGAGUAACGAUAAAGGGGGUGAAAAACCUCCUCGCCGGAAGACCAAGGGUUCCUGUCCAACGUUAAUCGGGGCAGGGUAAGUCGACCCCUAAGGCGAGGCCGAAAGGCGUAGUCGAUGGGAAACGGGUUAAUAUUCCCGUACUUCUUACAAUUGCGAUGGGGGGACGGAGAAGGCUAGGUGGGCCUGGCGACGGUUGUCCAGGUUCAAGUGCGUAGGCUUAAGAGUUAGGUAAAUCCGGCUCUUUCUAAGGCUGAGACACGACGUCGAGCACCUACGGGUGUGAAGUCAUUGAUGCCAUGCUUCCAGGAAAAGCCUCUAAGCUUCAGAUUGUAAGGAAUCGUACCCCAAACCGACACAGGUGGUCGGGUAGAGAAUACCAAGGCGCUUGAGAGAACUCGGGUGAAGGAACUAGGCAAAAUGGUACCGUAACUUCGGGAGAAGGUACGCUCU